rnacentral:rRNA from 1 species
GACGAACGCUGGCGGCGUGGAUUAGGCAUGCAAGUCGAACGGUAUCAUCCUUUCGGGGGUGAGAGAGUGGCGAACUGGUGAGUAACACGUAGGUUAUCUACCCUCAAGACGGGGACAACCCAGGGAAACUUGGGCUAAUACCGGAUGUGAGCAACUUUUAGUUGUUUGAAAGGUGGCGUAAGCUGUCGCUUGGGGAUGAGCCUGCGUCCUAUUAGUUAGUUGGUGAGGUAACGGCUCACCUAGGCAAUGAUAGGUAGGCGGCCUUAACGGGUGGUCGCCCACACUGGGAUUGAGAUACGGCCCAGACUCCUACGGGAGGCAGCAGUCGAGAAUAGUCUACAAUGGUCGGAAGACUGAUAGUGCGACGCCGCGUGAACGAUGAAUCCCUUCGGGGUGUAAAGUUCUUUUAUAUGUGAGCAGUGCUUCUUAUAUUAACAGUAUGGGGAGAGAGAUAUUAGCAUAUGAAUAAGCAACGGCUAACUCCGUGCCAGCAGCCGCGGAAACUCG